GAUGAACGCUGACAGAAUGCUUAACACAUGCAAGUCAACUUGAAUUUGGGUUUUUAACUUAGGUUUGGGUGGCGGACGGGUGAGUAACGCGUAAAGAACUUGCCUCACAGUUAGGGACAACAUUUGGAAACGAAUGCUAAUACCUAAUAUUAUGAUAAUAGGGCAUCCUAUGAUUAUGAAAGCUAUAAGCGCUGUGAGAGAGCUUUGCGUCCCAUUAGCUAGUUGGAGAGGUAACGGCUCACCAAGGCGAUGAUGGGUAGCCGGCCUGAGAGGGUGAUCGGCCACAAGGGGACUGAGACACGGCCCUUACUCCUACGGGAAGCAGCAGUGGGGAAUAUUGGACAAUGGACCAAGAGUCUGAUCCAGCAAUUCUGUGUGCACGAUGAAGUUUUUCGGAAUGUAAAGUGCUUUCAGUUGGGAAGAAAGAAAUGACGGUACCAACAGAAGAAGUGACGGCUAAAUACGUGCCAGCAGCCGCGGUAAUACGUAUGUCACGAGCGUUAUCCGGAUUUAUUGGGCGUAAAGCGCGUCUAGGUGGUUAUGUAAGUCUGAUGUGAAAAUGCAGGGCUCAACUCUGUAUUGCGUUGGAAACUGUAUAACUAGAGUACUGGAGAGGUAAGCGGAACUACAAGUGUAGAGGUGAAAUUCGUAGAUAUUUGUAGGAAUGCCGAUGGGGAAGCCAGCUUACUGGACAGAUACUGACGCUGAAGCGCGAAAGCGUGGGUAGCAAACAGG
rnacentral:rRNA from 1 species